rnacentral:lncRNA from 1 species
GGAAUUUGAUAGGAGCAUAUUUAUGCGACUGAGUUAGCUUGUUAUCAUGCAUUUAUAUUGUUAUUUCUUAGUUAAUUAUGUAUUUUAAGCUAUUUUCGUGUGUUUGUAGGUCCAUAGGCCUUAUGAAGCAAUAAGAUGUAUUUUGGUACAUUUUGGAGCAGUUUUGGGCUUGGAAUGAAUAGCACAUGCAUGGAGCAAGGUGGAUGGACGAAGUUGAAGACUAAAGAAGCUAGGAAUGUGUUAAAAAGAAAGAAGAAUUAAUGUAAAAAGGACAAAGAGCUCAGCCACAAAGGGGUGUCACUCCACCAUCCACCUUUCCAUCAUUGCCAUGCACCACCAUUGCACUCCCUUUGGAUUCCUAUGCCGUGCAUCAUCAUCCAUGUUCCCUCCAUUGACUCAUUUGUUGCAUCAUUCCACCUCCAUUUCCUUUCUCUACCAUGUGCACAAUCAUUCAUUUUCCCUAGCUGCAACACAACUCCAUUUUACCCCCAUGCUUUGCAUCAUCACUUCACUUUCACCUUUGAAUCAUUUCAAACACCACUCAUUGCACUCAAUUACUACACCAUUCCUGAAGGAUAAAUUUUGUCUUAGCUAAGAACAUGUGAGAAUAUUUGAACACAUAUGCAAACUAUUAACACAUUAAAGU